AUUGAACGCUGGCGGCAUGCCUUACACAUGCAAGUCGAACGGCAGCACGGGUGCUUGCACCUGGUGGCGAGUGGCGAACGGGUGAGUAAUACAUCGGAACAUGUCCUGUAGUGGGGGAUAGCCCGGCGAAAGCCGGAUUAAUACCGCAUACGAUCUACGGAUGAAAGCGGGGGACCUUCGGGCCUCGCGCUAUAGGGUUGGCCGAUGGCUGAUUGGCUAGUUGGUGGGGUAAAGGCCUACCAAGGCGACGAUCAGUAGCUGGUCUGAGAGGACGACCAGCGACCCUGGGACUGAGACACGGCCCAGACUCCUACGGGAGGCAGCAGUGGGGAAUUUUGGACAAUGGGCGAAAGCCUGAUCCAGCAAUGCCGCGUGUGUGAAGAAGGCCUUCGGGUUGUAAAGCACUUUUGUCCGGAAAGAAAUCCUUGGCCCUAAUACGGUCGGGGGAUGACGGUACCGGAAGAAUAAGCACCGGCUAACUACGUG
rnacentral:rRNA from 1 species